UCCUUUGUGCAACUGUAAAACAAACUAAGCUUCAUCUUAUGACCGUAUCUAGGAUAACACACACACAUAGACAGCAGAUACACACUAUAUAUGAUGUACAAAUGUGUUAGUUUAUGGCAAAUACAUGACAACUGUUACCAUUCACAGGCGGAAGUUGUAAGAUCAUUUACUUAUUUCAGGAUGAAUGAUAAGAUCUUUUUUUUUUUUUGGUUACAAGCGGGGUCAAAAAGACCCAAACAAAAGAAAAAGAA